CAGCAGCCGCGGGAAUACGAAGGGUGCGAGCGUUGUUCGGAAUUACUGGGCGUAAAGGGUUCGUAGGCGGAAUUGUAAGUUAGAUGUGAAAACUCUGGGCUCAACCUGGAACAUGCAUCUAAAACUACUUUUCUUGAGUGUUGGAGAGGGCAGUGGAAUUGCUGGUGUAGGAGUGACAUCCGUAGAGAUCAGCAGGAACACCGGAGGCGAAGGCGACUGCCUGGCCGAACACUGACGCUGAGGAACGAAAGCGUGGGGAGCAAACAGGAUUAGAUACCCGAGUAGUCCCUGUCUCUUAUAC
rnacentral:rRNA from 1 species